ensembl:lncRNA
GCAGAGAGGUGUUCAAAACUCUUUGGGCAAUCAGCUAGCUUGCUUCAGUCCUCUGCUUCCUUUUGUAAUCGGCUAGGCUGACUGACAUGUAGCAUACAGAGAAAGGGUCACUACACCAUUCUGCUCAGCAUGCCAGCUUCCUCCCUUAAAUGCCUGCACUGAUGCAGCCAGUGAAUACUUCUAAGGACUAUCACAUCUAAUUGUGGAAUACAGAAAUGAAGCUGAGUGCAAGAUGCGUACCUGGCCUGGUGUUUCACUAGAAGCAUGUACUUCAUACCAAAAUUAACUGCUCCUUCAGUCUCAAAAGAGAACGCUGCUUCAUACCAAAGACUGAAUUUCAGAAAACCAGCAUGACCACAGAGAUCAUCGCUGAAAUGAAAGCUGAACAAUGCAUGGCUUUAGAGGAGAGAGAUGAAUGUAACUUAAUUCUGCAGCCCUUAAAUCCUGGAUGCAUCUGCCAAAAGCAGGGAGUUCACUGAAGCCAUUCCACUGAGCCAGAGAAGGGGCUCUUCUUUUAACGGGUAUUUAAUAUUUUGUGAUUUUUUUAGCAUGCCAAGAAUUCCUGUAUCCUACAAGUUCACUGCAUCCCAAACCUGAGUCAAACACUGAGAGCUAGGAGCACGUUUCCAGGCCAGCCUCUAUAAAUUCAAUGAGC